CUAGUGGCGCACGGGUGCGUAACGCGUGGGAAUCUGCCCUUCGGUUGGGAAUAACACAGAGAAAUUUGUGCUAAUACCUUAUAAUGUCUUCGGACCAAAGAUUUAUCGCCGAGGGAUGAGCCCGCGUAGGAUUAGCUAGUUGGUGGGGUAAUGGCCUACCAAGGCGACGAUCCUUAGCUGGUCUGAGAGGAUGAUCAGCCACACUGGGACUGAGACACGGCCCAGACUCC
rnacentral:rRNA from 1 species